rnacentral:rRNA from 1 species
GAUGAACGCUAGCGACAGGCCUAACACAUGCAAGUCGAGGGGCAGCAUGGUAUCAGCUUGCUGAUACCGAUGGCGACCGGCGCACGGGUGAGUAACGCGUAUGUAAUCUGCCUGUAACAGAGGGAUAACCCGGAGAAAUCCGGCCUAAUACCUCAUAGCACAUAUUAUUCGCAUGAGUUUUAUGUUAAAGAGACUCGGUUACAGAUGAACAUGCGUUCCAUUAGCUGGUUGGCGGGGUAACGGCCCACCAAGGCAACGAUGGAUAGGGGUUCUGAGAGGAAGGUCCCCCACACUGGUACUGAGACACGGACCAGACUCCUACGGGAGGCAGCAGUGAGGAAUAUUGGUCAAUGGGCGAGAGCCUGAACCAGCCAAGUCGCGUGGAGGAAGACGGCCCUACGGGGUUGUAAAACCUCCCUUUUUUAACCUGGGGAAAUAACGGGCGCUACGCGUAGCGCUGUGCAUGUACCGGGAGAAUAAGCAUCGGCUAAUUCCGUGCCAG